AGAGGCGCACUCGGGUGGAUUUGGGCACAGUAGACGAGUUGCUCUGAGAAAUACCGGUGAACUUGAUCUGGAUAAUACCAGCGAAAGGACAUGCUUCUUUGGCAAAC
rnacentral:ncRNA from 1 species